CACGCCGUAAACGAUGAUUACUAGUUGUUUGCGAUAUACCGUAAGUGACUAAGCGAAAGCGAUAAGUAAUCCACCUGGGGAGUACGCCGGCAACGGUGAAACUCAAAGGAAUUGACGGGGGCCCGCACAAGCGGAGGAACAUGUGGUUUAAUUCGAUGAUACGCGAGGAACCUUACCCGGGCUUGAAAUGUACCUGACCGUCCUUGAAAAGGGACUUCUAGCAAUAGCAGGUAUGUAGGUGC
rnacentral:rRNA from 1 species